UGAACCUGCUUGUGGGAGUAGUGGUGGAGCUGAAGGGAAGGGUGGCUGUUGCGUGUUUGUGAGGGAGCGUUGGGGAGAACGGUGGACGAGGAAGAACAUGAAACUAGGUCGUCUUCCUCCAGAGCGUCGAGGGAGUCACUGGAGGGGCUGGUGAUGACACGAGAGUCUGUGUUUAGAGAAUCAGAUGCUUCUGAUACAGAUUGAGGCUCCUCUGCUGCACGAGCGUCUUCCUCACAUCGGCUUUUUUGUCCCACGUGUUCCCGUAGUUCUCCAGAAUCAUUCUCUCUUAUCUUGGUCUGUGUUUGCGGACCCUCCUGCCUCUUCUCUGUCUCCUCUUUGUGCUCUGUCUCUUCAUUCUUACUCUCUCUGUUUUUACUCAAGGGAGACUUCUCCUUUUCCGUGUCAGCAUCCUUUUCUUCCUUUUGCUUUUUAUUUUCCUCCCAUGCUUUGUCCCCUUUCUCUUUGCUGUCUUUGUUUCUCCUUCUGUUUCUGUCUUUUCUUUUUCUCCCAUCUGGGUCUGAUGAGGAUCUGAUGCGAUGGCGCGGCCUGUCGUCAUGUGAUGCCUUGGUGAUCAGCGCAUCCAUGCCCAGGUCUGAAGAGGAGUCCGAGUCGCUGCCACACCGUGACACGUAACCUGUCAUACACCCACAUGAAAACAUGCAACGACACUCGGUGCUUCUUGGACACAUGUAUCCAGGGGAAGAUGUUCAGAUUGGGGUCAACAAACACUCGACAGUACCCUGCUAUGAGGCAGGACAUAUCUUUGGCGGCCGCUGACUCCAAUAGUAACGUGAUGGGCUUUGAAUGAGGAAGCAGAAGAGACGAUAUGAGAGGGGACGAGGGAAGAGGGGGAAUGGAAAGACAACUUCAGCAGUGGAAAAACACUUAGCGUACAGUAGUCUCCAAAAGGGUAUAUUUUGACCAGGCUGACCUUGUCGGACUCAGGCAGCAGCUCGAUGCGUGUGAUGCAGGUGAACUCUGUGAGGGUGGACAGAAUGCUCAGUUUGUGGUUGACCACCUGACUCACGCCGUAGCGGGCCCCCACCAACAAGGUCACCAUGGACUCCCUGUCCUGAAGCUGGCAGAUGUUUACCAAGACGCGAAAAGACCAAGUCAGCGGAGGAAUUACAAACUUUAUGUAUUGUGCUGACUGGAGACCACUGGACAUCACACAUAGUAAACCCUACCAUCAUGGUGGCACUGAAGGAUUUCCCUCCGAAUGACUUGAGCUCACACAGCUCCUCCAGGGUGGAUGACACAAAGUUCUCUAUGCCCCACGUCUUCCUAGAGCAAACACAGACACACACAAUGAGAGGGUCUGAUGUGUGAGAGAGCUGGGAAGUGGGAAUGGAAACCAGUGGAGAGCAUACAUUUGAAAACUUCAAGUGAAUUUCUGA